rnacentral:rRNA from 1 species
GAUGAACGCUGGCGGCGUGCCUAAUACAUGCAAGUCGAGCGAACAGACGAGGAGCUUGCUCCUCUGACGUUAGCGGCGGACGGGUGAGUAACACGUGGAUAACCUACCUAUAAGACUGGGAUAACUUCGGGAAACCGGAGCUAAUACCGGAUAAUAUAUUGAACCGCAUGGUUCAAUAGUGAAAGACGGUUUUGCUGUCACUUAUAGAUGGAUCCGCGCCGCAUUAGCUAGUUGGUAAGGUAACGGCUUACCAAGGCAACGAUGCGUAGCCGACCUGAGAGGGUGAUCGGCCACACUGGAACUGAGACACGGUCCAGACUCCUACGGGAGGCAGCAGUAGGGAAUCCUCCGCAAUGGGCGAAAGCCUGACGGAGCAACGCCGCGUGAGUGAUGAAGGUCUUCGGAUCGUAAAACUCUGUUAUUAGGGAAGGACAAAUGUGUAAGUAACUAUGCACGUCUUGACGGUACCUAAUCAGAAAGCCACGGCUAACUACGUG